GAUGAACGCUGGCUACAGGCUUAACACAUGCAAGUCGAGGGGAAACGGCAUUGAGUGCUUGCACUGAAUGGACGUCGACCGGCGCACGGGUGAGUAACGCGUAUCCAACCUUCCCGUUACUGCGGGAUAACCUGCCGAAAGGCAGACUAAUACCGCAUGUUCUUCGAUGACGGCAUCAGAUUCGAAGCAAAGAUCCGUCGGUAACGGAGGGGGAUGCGUCUGAUUAGCUAGUUGGCGGGGCGACGGCCCACCAAGGCGACGAUCAGUAGGGGUUCUGAGAGGAAGGUCCCCCACAUUGGAACUGAGACAAGGUCCAAACUCAUACGGGAGGCAGCAGUGAGGAAUAUUGGUCAAUGGGCGGAAGCCUGAACCAGCCAAGUAGCGUGCAGGAAGACGGCCCUACGGGUUGUAAACUGCUUUUAUGCGGGGAUAAAGUGAGGGAAGCGUCCCUUUUUGCAGGUACCGCAUGAAUAAGGACCGGCUAAUUCCGUG
rnacentral:rRNA from 1 species